rnacentral:rRNA from 1 species
UAGGGAAUCUUCCGCAAUGGACGAAAGUCUGACGGAGCAACGCCGCGUGAGCGAAGAAGGCCUUCGGGUCGUAAAGCUCUGUUGUUAGGGAAGAACAAGUAUCGGAGUAACUGCCGGUACCUUGACGGUACCUAACCAGAAAGCCACGGCUAACUACGUGCCAGCAGCCGCGGUAAUACGUAGGUGGCAAGCGUUGUCCGGAAUUAUUGGGCGUAAAGCGCGCGCAGGCGGUCCUUUAAGUCUGAUGUGAAAGCCCACGGCUCAACCGUGGAGGGUCAUUGGAAACUGGGGGACUUGAGUGCAGAAGAGGAGAGUGGAAUUCCACGUGUAGCGGUGAAAUGCGUAGAGAUGUGGAGGAACACCAGUGGCGAAGGCGACUCUCUGGUCUGUAACUGACGCUGAGGCGCGAAAGCGUGGGGAGCAAACAGGAUUAGAUAACCCUGGUAGUCCGACGCCGUAAACGAUGAGUGCUAAGUGUUAGAGGGUUUCCGCCUUUAG